rnacentral:lncRNA from 1 species
GCUGCAAUGCCGUUUCGAUUCCAAAUAAAAUAGGCGUCUUCACAGGCCAUUUUGUUGUGUGGAGCUCUGCAAUGGGCACCGAAAUGUGCUUCAUAUUUCGCUUUGCUUGCGGCAACGUUUGUAGCAAAAACAGUUCUGUCUGUCGUCAAAAACCGGUAAAAAAUUGCUCCUCUUCCAUUCAGAUUACAUUUUCCUAGCCUGAAAACACUUCGAGUAGACAUAUUGUGGUUAUUUUUGUAGAAAAAUGUUCUCCAUUCUCGUAUAACGUGCACAAUUUUUGAAAGAAAACUCUAUAUCAACUGUCAAUUUUGACCAAUUUUCGUUUG